CACUACUUCGUCCACAGAACAAGAAAAAGAGAUAUGAGUGGGCAAAAGCUCUCAAAAAUUGGACUUUUGAUGACUAGAAACAAGUUUGCACUGUUUGGUUCAAAACGCAGAAACUAUGUCCGCAGACAAACUGGUGAACGUCUAAAAGCAUCAUGUGUUACAACCACAAUUCAGCAUGGAGGUGGUAGUUCCAUGGUAUGGGGAUGUUUUGCAGGUGAUGGAGUAAGAGAUUUGUUUGAAGUAAAGGGUAUCAUGAAGAAGGAACAGUACCACUCCAUCCUCCAGCACCAUGCUGUUCCAUCUGGACUCAGACUUGUGGCUCAUAAGUUUGUUUUGCAGCAAGACAAUGACCCUAAGCACUCUGCCAAGCUCUGUCAAGGUUACCUAGAC